AUAGAAGUGAUGAUUAUUUCCCCAGAUGAUCGACGUUGAACAAACUGAGCAUUUUUAUUUCUCUUUUUCUUUAUUAGAAGAGAAUUUAAGCCAGGAAACUAAUCCAU
rfam:Ricinus communis cultivar Hale ctg_1100012362739, whole genome shotgun sequence.